GACGAACGCUGGCGGCGUGCUUAACACAUGCAAGUCGAACGGAAAGGCCUCUUUCGGGGGGUACUCGAGUGGCGAACGGGUGAGUAACACGUGAGUAACCUGCCCUUGACUUUGGGAUAACUUCAGGAAACUGGGGCUAAUACCGGGUAGGAGCUCCUGCUGCAUGGUGGGGGUUGGAAAGUUUCGGCGGUUGGGGAUGGACUCGCGGCUUAUCAGCUUGUUGGUGGGGUAGUGGCUUACCAAGGCUUUGACGGGUAGCCGGCCUGAGAGGGUGACCGGCCACAUUGGGACUGAGAUACGGCCCAGACUCCUACGGGAGGCAGCAGUGGGGAAUAUUGCACAAUGGGUGGAAGCCCGAUGCAGCAACGCCGUGUGCGGGAUGACGGCCUUCGGGUUGUAAACCGCUUUCGCUCAUGACGAAGCUUUGUGUGACGGUAGUGGGUAAAGAAGCACCGGCUAACUACGUG
rnacentral:rRNA from 1 species